UACAGAGGUCCCGAGCGUUGUUCGGAUUUACUGGGCGUAAAGGGUGCGUAGGUGGUCGGGUAAGUCUCAUGUGAAAUCCCGCAGCUUAACUGCGGAACGGCAUGGGAUACUAUUCGGCUCGAGGAUUGGAGGGGGGACUGGAAUUCCCGGUGUAGCAGUGAAAUGCGCAGAUAUCAGGAGGAACACCGGUGGCGAAGGCGGAUCUCUGGGCCUGUCCUGACGCUCAGGCGCGAAAGCUAGGGGAGCAAACAGG
rnacentral:rRNA from 1 species